rnacentral:rRNA from 1 species
UACGGAGGGGGCUAGCGUUGUUCGGAAUUACUGGGCGUAAAGCGCACGUAGGCGGCUUUGUAAGUUAGAGGUGAAAGCCCGGGGCUCAACUCCGGAAUUGCCUUUAAGACUGCAUCGCUAGAAUUGUGGAGAGGUAAGUGGAAUUCCGAGUGUAGAGGUGAAAUUCGUAGAUAUUCGGAAGAACACCAGUGGCGAAGGCGACUUACUGGACACAUAUUGACGCUGAGGUGGCGAAAAGCGUGGGGAGCAAACAGG